UACAGAGGUCCCAAGCGUUGUUCGGAUUUACUGGGCGUAAAGGGUGCGUAGGUGGCGGGGUAAGUCUGGUGUGAAAGCUCCGAGCUCAACUCGGAAAAGCAUUGGAAACUAUCCCGCUUGAGGGUCGGAGGGGAGACUGGAAUUCUCGGUGUAGCAGUGAAAUGCGUAGAUAUCAGGAGGAACACCGGUGGCGAAGGCGGCUUUCUGGACAGUAACUGACGCUGAGGCGCGAAAGCUAGGGGAGCAAACAGG
rnacentral:rRNA from 1 species